CCAGCAUUUCCAGGGAGGCAACAGUGUCCCACAGAAAAACCUGGGUAAGACCUACGGGAGGUCUGA
rnacentral:sRNA from 1 species